GGUUACAUUGUCUUCUCCCACAGCCCAUUCACACCUCUUUUGUUUUUCUACCCAGGCCAUGAAAUGAGUGCCGAUAAGUUGGGACAGCCCUGUUUACUGGGACUUAUCAACUGCUAAUGCAGUCCAGGAGUAAGCAAAUGGCUGGGCAGCAGUAUUUCUUGGGAUAUGCUCUAAGGUAGCCACUGUCAUAAUGUCCCUUCCAGAUCUUAGUUUGGGAAUUGGCCAAUAUAUCCAUCAGAUGGGCACAAAGAAGAGCAAAAACAAUGGCAGGAAUGUGAUGAGAAGAAAGGUAAAUGGAUGCCUGGUGAUGUGUGCCCAGAGACCAAGAGCACUGGGUAAGAGGGGACUCUGGCAGGAAAACCUCAGUUUAGUCCCCUCAGAAUAGGUUUGAGCCAUCUUCCUCCUCUAAGGAGUUUGCUGCAGACAACAUCAACAACCAGCUUCUCAACUACAUUUCUUCCUACCUUAAAAUUUUGAAGCCAUUAUGACCUGAUGUUACAGGAGAUCAUCUAACAGCAAUAAUCCCCCUUUCCGGCACUACAGGACACAGGGAAAGCCUGCAAUUUAUGGAAUAUCUGAUGGCUCAGCUUUCCCCUCCUUUCCUCAGAGUCAUGAUGCCAUGUUCACAUUAAGGUGCACUGAGAAGGGGAGAAUGAUGUAUGGCCUGCAGUCCUUCAACCUUCCAGUCAUCUCCACCCUAAGAAAGGCUAGUGAUGAGUCGGCAAGCAUUAGUUGACAGAGAGUCAAAUUAUCAACAGGAUUAAAAAUAAAUAAAUAAAGCGCUCCAGCAACGCUUCCUAAGAAGACCAGCGGGAAGGGCUUACAGACGAGAACUACUCUAUACCCCAGGAGUUUCUGCUGGAAAUAUAGUUUGGUUAACUGGAAAUCCAGGGCGCUGCAGCAUUUAAAGGU
rnacentral:lncRNA from 1 species